rnacentral:rRNA from 1 species
AACAAACGCUGGCGGCGUGCCUAAUACAUGCAAGUCGAACGGGGAAAGCUUUCGGGUGAGUACUAGUGGCGCACGGGUGAGGAACGCGUGGAUAAUCUGCCUUAGAGUGGGGGAUAACUAGUCGAAAGAUUAGCUAAUACCGCAUAAGACCACAGGAGCUGCGGCUCAAGGGGUCAAAGGUUUUUCGCUCUAAGAUGAGUCCGCGUAAGAUUAGCUAGUUGGUGAGGUAACGGCUCACCAAGGCGACGAUCUUUAACUGGUCUGAGAGGAUGAUCAGUCACACUGGAACUGAGACACGGUCCAGACUGCUACGGGAGGCAGCAGUAGGGAAUAUUGCACAAUGGAGGAAACUCUGAUGCAGCGACGCCGCGUGAGUGAUGAAGGCCUUCGGGUCGUAAAGCUCUGUCGCAGGGGAAUAACACAAUGAAUGUACCCUGUAAGAAAGGAUCGGCUAACUUCGUGCCAGCAGCCGCGGUAAAAC